GACGAACGCUGGCGGCGUGCCUAACACAUGCAAGUCGAGCGGGGUCCAUCCGGUGGCAACACCGGGGAAGACCUAGCGGCGAACGGGUGAGUAACACGUGAGAAACCUGCCCCGAAGUCUGGGAUAACCCGGGGGAACUCGGACUAAUACCGGAUGCCCUUCACAGAUCGCAUGGUCAGUGAAGGAAAGAAUUUCGUUUCGGGAGGGUCUCGCGGCCUAUCAGCUAGUUGGUGGGGUAACGGCCCACCAAGGCUUCGACGGGUAGCUGGUCUGAGAGGACGAUCAGCCACACUGGGACUGAGACACGGCCCAGACUCCUACGGGAGGCAGCAGUGGGGAAUCUUGCGCAAUGGGCGAAAGCCUGACGCAGCAACGCCGCGUGCGGGAUGACGGCCUUCGGGUUGUAAACCGCUUUCAGCAGGGACGAAUUUUGACGGUACCUGCAGAAGAAGCCCCGGCCAACUACGUGCCAGCAGCCGCGGUAACACGUAGGGGGCGAGCGUUGUCCGGAUUUAUUGGGCGUAAAGAGCUCGUAGGCGGCUCGGUAAGUCAACUGUGAAAGCUCCGGGCUCAACUCGGAGAGGCCAGUUGAUACUGCUGUGGCUAGAGUCCGGUAGGGGAGCGUGGAAUUCCUGGUGUAGCGGUGAAAUGCGCAGAUAUCAGGAGGAACACCAGCGGCGAAGGCGGCGCUCUGGGCCGGAACUGACGCUGAGGAGCGAAAGCGUGGGUAGCAAACAGGAUUAGAUACCCUGGUAGUCCACGCCGUAAACGUUGGGCACUAGG
rnacentral:rRNA from 1 species